AUGUCAUUUGGUUUAACCUUUUUUCUAUCUAAUACAAUGGCAUUCAUUCAUUUUUCAGUAACUGCUCUUCACAACCCCUCAAAUCAGGAAAAAGCCAUACAACCUUCAAAUCAUGUCCUGCUAUUCAGACAUAGAAAGGCAAACCCGAGUCACACACAUACACUAAUUGUCAGAGGACCUUUAUAUUUCAUGACGCUUUCAACAGGCAGAAUGUCGGGUUUAUGCUUUUUUUUCUCCUCUGUUGGGAUGAUGAUGAUGAAGACGAGGAGAGCAUGCUGUCACACAUGGCUCCUGACGACAGAUAAGAUGAGCUGGAGGAAUCCUUCAUGUCCUGCAUGAAAUGAUGACUGACUCACGGACAACGGAAGGCAUCAUGAAUAGUGCCAAAGGGAAGAAAGAAUGGGAGAAUAGAAAACAUAAGAAUGUGUCUCUUAUGUGGGAAGAGUGAAUGGUUGAACCUGUCAAAGACACAUCCCUUUGGAAGAGCAAACCCAGGGGUACAAAAAGAAGCAUCACUCGGGACCAAGUGAUGCUGUAAAAACUACCAAAACCGAUUCGGUUCCAAGGGAAUUAUGUGAGCAAGACUGGAUAUCUGUGAAAAGACUACACUCUUAGAAGAAAAGGUUGUAUAUAGAACCUUAAAAAAUCUCAUAAAUAAUUAAAAUAGAGUUUCACCUACAUCUACAUAUUACAAAAUAAGUCCAUUAUAAAAUUACAUUAAUCUAUCACUAAUAAAUAACGCAAAUAUACAGAUUCAUCUAAAUUCCCAUCAGGGUUAGAACAACAUCAAGCACCUCAAAACUACAAAUCCAUAUUAAUAUAACUCACAAUGGAAAAUACAGAAAUAGAAGUACUUCAAAUAUACAAAUUCAUAUUAAUAUCACUCAUGAAGAAUGUGAAUACAUAGAUUUAAAAUUCAGAUCAACAUUUCAGAACAUCAAGUACUUCAAAUCUACAAAUUUACAUUAAUAUCACUCAUAAAGAAUUGUAAUUACAGAUUCAAAUUCAGAUCAGCAUUUCAGAAUAACAUCAAACGCCUCAUAUCUACACAUUUACAUUAGCACUAUUCACGAAAUAUCAAACUAUUAUGAUAAUUGAUUGUACAUUUUGAGCACUGGGACAGACAGUUUUAUUUUCUGGCUUCUGGAGACUUUAAACAGGUAUUGCUCAACAAAAUUCAUCAUGCGAGAGAUGUGCUUGGGGUAUUCCACACUGAAUAUGAAAUAAGUAACAAAGAGGCACUCAUCCAUUUCACACAAGCAUUAUUCACACAUGCAGUUUCUCACUUUCUCUCUGUUGUUAAUUCAAAUAAAAAUGUUAUUCUUCAAGCUACAUCAUUUGUAUAUCUGAUUUAAAGCAUGCAGAAUCCUAGAUCUAAAGGCCGAUUGCUAAAAAAAAAAAUGCAUCAGUGAUUCGCAAUCCCGCUCCGAACUCCCGAGCAGAAUCAAAAUGAUUCGCGAACCCCAAACUGACUCAAAUGAUUAGCGAUCCCGCUCUGAACUCCCGAACAGAAUCAAAUGAUUCGCGAACCCCAAACUGACUCAAAUGAUUCGUGAUCCCGCUCCGAACUCCUGAUCAGACUAAAAUGAUUCGCGAACCCCAAACUGACUCAAAUGAUUCGCGAUCCCGCUCCGAACUCCCGCACAGAAUCAAAUGAUUCGCGAACCCCAAACUGACUCAAAUGAUUCGUGAUCCCGCUCCGAACUCCUGAUCAGACUAAAAUGAUUCGCGAACCCCAAACUGACUCAAAUGAUUCGCGAUCCCGCUCCGAACUCCCGCACAGAAUCAAAUGAUUCGCGAACCCCAAACUGACUCAAAUGAUUCGUGAUCCCGCUCCGAACUCCUGAUCAGACUAAAAUGAUUCGCGAACCCCAAACUGACUCAAAUGAUUCGUGAUCCCGCUCCGAACUCCUGAUCAGACUAAAAUGAUUCGCGAACCCCAAACUGACUCAAAUGAUUCGCGAUCCCGCUCCGAACUCCUGAUCAGACUAAAAUGAUUCGCGAACCCCAAACUGACUCAAAUGAUUCGCGAUCCCGCUCCGAACUCCCGAACAGACUAAAAUGAUUCGCGAACCCCAAACUGACUCAAAUGAUUCACGAACCCGCUACGAACUCCCAAAUUGACUCAAAUUAUUCUAAGAAAGAAUAAGUCGCUUGUAGCUUCAGGAGGGGGUUAAGGCCAAAAUAACAAACAAAAAUGGGAUGCUAACUGAAAACAAAGUAAUCUAACUUACCUAGCAAACAUCAACAACAUGUCUCUUCCCUGACUUCCUCAUGUUACAUACGGAGUUAACACACAGUAUUAACAGCAACAAUGACUUACUUCUUAGGAUGUAACAAAAUGGGUAACUGCAUUAUUCGGUGUAUUCAAAUGCAUUUAUGAAUGCAUGUGCAUGAAUGAUCACAAAAUUCAAGAUAUGGGGGUUAGAAAAUGUAUAUAUUUAUAUCAUUUUAUGUAAUUAAUAAAUAUCACACGAAGAGUGCCAUUUGAGUUUUUCUCCAAAUAUCAGCAUGAUUAAAAAGUGAUAUUAAGUUACUACAAACAAUAAUUUAAUUACAAAGACAAAAUGUUGCAUAAUAAUGUAAUAUAUGAAUGAAUAAUAGCCUAAAGAACCUUUGUGCUCCAGUGUAUCUCACCUCGGGCCUGUCUCAUCUUAAAGAGAGCAGCUUGUUCCAACCAAAAAGUUGUGGAUCAACCACCUGUUCUACUUUAACAAGCUCAGUAACACAUUGAAAGGUCCAGCUGUGCUUAUAUUUGCCAAGCCUGCUUGUUUAGUAAAGAUUCAUUUGCAUAAAAGCAUACACUGUGCGAUUAAAUAAAGAACAUUAAGUCCCAUAUAAACAGCUUUAACAGCCUGGUUCGUUAGCAAAUAGCCAAUCGCUAGGAGUGCUGGCUCACUCAAGGGAGCUCCAGAACUCUUCUGUUCAUUAGUCACCAUGGACAGGAAUCAAAUAUGACUUUGUGUUGGAAAGCCAGAUCCUGUAGAGGCCAUGUUGUGUUGAUUUUAGUUGUUUGUUUGGAACAAAGGAGCUUACCGUGCUAAGGUUGGUUACAUUAUUAUCAAGCGCUGAAUCAUUAUAGCUUGCACUCCUCAAGAACCUUUCCUGUGGUUUCUGGCAUCAAUAUAUUAGCAGAAGAUCCUUUAAGUCCAGCAAGGUGCAAGGUGGAGUCUCCAUGGAUCGGAUAGGUCAGCACAUCUCAUAAAUGCUCAGUUGAGUUGAGAUCAGGAAGACUAUAGCAUUUGGUCCCCAUGUGCAUUAAAUGUGGCAAGACCCUGAUGCUGGUUCACAGAUUGUCCAUCCUUGCACCUCUUUUUAGGUACUUACCACUUGAAACGGGGAAAUCUCAACUAGACCGGUCGUAUAGAGAUGCUUUGACCCAGCUGCUAUAGCAUUGAUUGUGUAACCAUCACUAUUUGGCCAUUUUACUUGCCCUUUUCUCCUGCUUCCAACACAAUGAAUUAAAAAACGUACUGUUGCCUAAUCCAUCCAAACACUUGACAGCUGCCAUUGUAAUGACAGAAUCAAUCUUAUUCUCUUCAGCUGUCAGUGGUUUUAAUGUUGUUGCUGAACAGUUUAUCUUAAAGUACAGACUGCCCCAGUGUUGAGUGUUGAGAAUAGGGAGGGGGGUCUUUUAUGUCUUAUUCAAAUUAAAUAUUGGCCAAUUAAAACUCUCAUAGGUUCAGCUGUGCAAACGUAUUAGCAUGAGUUAGAGUAGUUGUUUUCUUUACUCUUUUAAUUUGCUGUUAUAUUGCAUGGGGAAAGAAAGAAAUUAAAUUAGCAUCAUAAAUAGGCUUAUUGUCAAUCCUGGUUCCUAUAAUACCAGUAGGAUACUUAUCCUCAUAAGGAUAUUAUAUCAUAUUAUACACUAUCAAAACAUUAAACUUCUGUAAACUAACACUUUUUUUUUUUAAUUCAAUGAAAGCGAAAAAAUUAGAAAAUAUAUGUAAUAUAGAUACAAUGUACAGAUGUCACAUGGGGGAAACAUUUUAAGAGAAACACUACAAACAUAUUAUAGUUUGUUUAUUAAUCGGCUACAUAAAGAAAGAUGCAAGAUGCAGUGUCUGUUUCUUAUUCAAUAAACAUCAUGUUGCAUGACGUCUAGUCAUUUAGAGCUGAAAAACACUGUGAGAUGUCCUCUUCACCUUACAAGAAGAAAAAACAAGCUCCAUGAUGAGCUUGAAUGAUGGCAAGGUUUGCUGCAGUGUUACUAACAGAAAACGUGCUGAACAAGAGAUCUGCAAUUGCUGUCGCAAGAGUUUUCAGGCUUAAGGAGACAUUCAGCAUUUAGUGAACACACAAAUCAAAGCUGACAACAUAAUUACAAUAGUUGAGCGAACUCAAAAAUCUCAAAUUGCAUGUUUGUCUAGAGAGUAGUUGCAGUUCUCAGAACAACUAACAUUGUUAUGUUAACCCGCUUCUCAGACACUAUAGUUAUAUACAGAAGUUUUUUAAAAAUGUUUUACCAUUAGAAAAGACGUUGUUGUUGUGCACUGUGAAGGUUAGCGCUGGAAUUGCUGCUUCAGAAGGUGAAAUGAGCAGGACCUUGAGUGACCGGUGCAGUAAUUGUUAGGAAGUGAAGUGGAUACCCACAUGAGUAUUAGUGAUGUGAAAGCAAUGGGUUUAGUUAAUAGGGGAGCAUCAGCAGUGUACAGCCAUUGUUCAUGCUAAGAUGAGGAUCUUGACAUUUUACUGAGGCUAUUGUGCUCGUUUCAAUAAGAUUUCCAGCACUGCAAUCACAGGCUUUGAUGUAACACAAUGAAACUGUAGUGAAUUCGGCUUUCUGAGAGUAUUCCUGAGCACAGACGGAUCAUGCAUUCAAUGUGCAAGUGGAUUCUGUAAAGGUGUGUGCCUCAGUAAUUUAGAAAAUUAAGCUUGUUUAUUUAGCAUGAUCUUACAGGCUUGUUCAUAUAUGCAUUGUUUACAUUUACAUUUUGUAUGUUUAUAAACAUAUAUGAAUGUAUCGACAGCCUUUGAAAGGAUUUAUUUAUACACAGCAUAAGAUACGUAAAAACAGUUAUGAUUAUUCUACGAAUGCAGUUUUGUUAGUUUACUAUUACUUAUAAUAAAGUAUUACUCAUUUUUCAGCUGC
rnacentral:lncRNA from 1 species